GAUGAAGAACGUAGCGAAAUGCGAUAAGUAGUGUGAAUUGCAAAAUUCAGUGAAUCAUUGAAUCUUUGAACGCACAUUGCGCCCCUUGGUAUUCCAUGGGGCAUGCUUGUUCGAGCGUCAUUUGUACUCUCAAGCUCUGCUUGGUGUUGGGUGUUUGUCCUUUCCCUGCGUUAGGACUCGCCUCAAAUUCAUUGGCAGCCGAUAUAUUGGUUUGAAGCGCAGCACAAUUUGCGAUUCGGGCUGGUUAUUGUUGGCGUCCAGUAAGCACAUUUAACACUUUUGACCUCGGAUCAAGUAGGGAUACCCGCUGAACUUAAGCAUAUCAAUAAGCGGAGGA
rnacentral:misc_RNA from 1 species